rnacentral:rRNA from 1 species
UACGGAGGGUGCAAGCGUUAUCCGGAUUUAUUGGGUUUAAAGGGUCCGUAGGCGGACUCGUAGGUCAGUGGUGAAAUCUCCAAGCUUAACUUGGAACUGCCGUUGAUACUAUAGACCUUGAAUGCUGUGGAGGUGAGCGGAAUAUGUCAUGUAGCGGUGAAAUGCUUAGAUAUGACAUAGAACACCAAUUGCGAAGGCAGCUCACUACCAGAAUAUUGACACUGAGGCACGAAAGCGUGGGGAUCAAACAGG